rnacentral:tRNA from 1 species
GGUCUGGUGGUGUAGUUGGUUAUCACGUCAGUCUAACACUUCGAGAAUCUCACCUCUCUCGGAUGUCACACUGAAGGUCUCCGGUUCAAGUCCGGGCUAGAUCA